GUUCCUUCAGCCCUCUAUUCAUUGGAGUUUUGUUCUCAUUUUUAUUCUUAGCAUAUGAAAUAUUAAUCUUAUAAUAGAUACUAUGUCUUAGAGACCCUUGAAAUAAUCCUUUCCUCUACAUGUUUAUGUCACCAACUUGGAAUAUACUCAGUCUUAUUUUAUAAGUUUUCAGCUUUUAGGGAUUGCUUUUUGUGUGUUAAGUGCAUUUUUUGAAUGUAUAAAACAUUUACAUUUCCAAAGAAGUUGUAUAGUAUAACAAGGUAUAUGCAGAGGUGCUUCACUAAUCCCUCUACCUUCUUCCCUUCCUCUUGAAAAUAAAAUUAUUAGCGUUUGGUUUUCAUUUCAUUGUUUCUUUUUGCAAGAGAAAGCAAAUGUGUGUGAAUUCCUGUUCUGCACACACACGAACGUGUAGCUGUCUAUGCUAUUCUGCACCUUGUAUUUUUCAGUUAAAGUUUCCAUUACAGAGUUAAAUGCAUGUUAGGAAAAGCAUGUUGGUCACUACAUACACAUACUUGUUUACUUACAACAUCCAUUAUCUUCAUAUUUUUUGCUUGUUUUUAGUCUCAUUAAAUUUGUUAAUUGUAUAAUAGCUAUUUUUUAAUUUUAGAGUGUAAAAUUGUGAACUAUAUAGAUUAUUCAUUAUCAUACACACACUCAUAACCAAUUAUGUAUAGUGCAAAUCCAUAUCCUUCCAGGCCCCUCUCUGUUAAGAAAACAAGAACAUUUGUAAUUGAAAUUUAAUUAUUGAAUUGUUAUACUAGGAAUUUUUAGUUAUCAUUCCUAAAGUCAUUAUUUGUUAAUUCCUAGACAUUAGACACAAAUUCAUAAAUUGUCAAAUAUAGUGCAAAAAAAAGGUAUCAAAAUGAUAAAGCAUCUGUUUUCCUUAUCUCCUUUUCUGAAUAUUUCUUUAAAAUGGGGCUGAAGAAAAUGAGUGACUAAAUAUGAUUAGUUUUUUUAUAUAUUUUUAUUUUUUAGUUGUAGUUGGACACAAUACCUUUAGUUUAUUUAUUUUUAUGUGGUACUGAGGAUCAAACCCAGGACCUCGUGUUUUCUCAGCAAGCAUUCUACCACUCAGCCACAACCCCUGCCUUAUGAUUAGUAUUAAGUGUAAAUUUUAUUUUACAAAUUAAUCACUAUUAAAUGUAAAUUAAUAGAAUACAUUUGUUAAUCUAAAGUACUCAGAUAUAAUCCCAUUGAGUUUUCUCUUUUUUCAUUUUUAUCCUGAAAAUUGGAAUAGAAAGAUUUUAU
rnacentral:lncRNA from 1 species